GUGUGUGUGUGUGGUGUGUGGUGGUGUGUGUGUGUGGUACCCCUCCCUUCUCUGUUGUUACUUUAGUUUCUGACUGUGGCGCAUGAAGAAAUUCAGAGGCUUCUCAAACCCAGCAGUUGGUUUUCAGCUCAAUGAGUCUCUGAAGUUUCCAGCAGUGACAUCAUGGCGUCCAUGACAGAUGAUCUAAAACCACUGAAGAAGAGCGUCAGCUAUGAAUGGCUGCCACCUGAAA